GAGGGUAUGGCUCAGUGGUAGAGCAUGUGCUCAGCAUGCAUGAGGUCCUGGGUUCAAUCGCCUGUACCUUCA
rnacentral:tRNA from 1 species